rnacentral:rRNA from 1 species
CGGCGAGUGAAGAGGGAAGAGCCCAAGAUUGAAAGCUGGCGUCUUCGGCGUCCGCAUUGUAAUCUCAAGAAGUGUUUUCCGCUUCGGACCAUGCCUAAGUCCCUUGGAAAAGGGCAUCAUAGAGGGUGAUAAUCCCGUACAUGGCAUGGAGCGCCCGAAGCUUUGUGAUACGCUUUCUACGAGUCGAGUUGUUUGGGAAUGCAGCUCAAAAUGGGUGGUAAAUGCCAUCUAAGGCUAAAUAUUGGGGAGAGACCGAUAGCGAACAAGUACAGUGAUGGAAAGAUGAAAAGAACUUUGAAAAGAGAGUUAAACAGUACGUGAAAUUGCCAAAAGGGAAGGGUAGGAGGUCAGAGAUGCGUCUUGGGAUUCAGCCUUGCUUUUGCAUGGUGUUUUUCCCAAGUUGCAGGCCAACGUCGGUUUUGGGCACUGGAGAAGGGUAGGAGGAACGUGGCACCUCUCGGGGUGUGUUAUAGCCUCCUACUGGAUACAGCGACCGAGACCGAGGAACGCAGCGUACUCGUAAGAGCGGGCCUUUUGGCACCUUUACGCUUAGGGCGUUGGCAUAAUGGCCCUCUACCACCCGUCUU